rnacentral:lncRNA from 1 species
GAGAUCGGUGUAGGAAGAGAGAGAGAGAAAGAAAGAAAUAGAAAGAGAGAGGCUGCAGUUACCACCGGCAACCGAGAGAGGAGAGGAAGAAUAAGAAGAAGAAGAAUAAGAAGAAUGAGAAGGAGAAGCUGGUGCUACGCGCGAUACUGGGACCAGAGAAGAAGAAACCCACGGUGGCGGCCAAGUGUGAAUUUGCAUUCCCGAGUGUGCUUUGAUGUGGUACCACUAGAUCUGUGUCGGAUUUGAGGGCGCGAAGUAUUUUACAGUGAAUUUCAACCAAUCCACAACGGAGAGCGAUGGCGAGUGGGGGCGGUAUGUGGUGGUCUGAUGGCGGCUUGUGUGGAGGCGCACAGACUUUCGAUGGUUAUGCACAGUGAGUCUUAGGGACCCAGUUUUGGUAGGUGAGUUUAAAAACCCUGAUGGUUUAGUGUUUUAGAUUUAAGGUUAAUUAAUCCUAUUUAAUUUUAACGCAACGAAUUAUUUAUCCAGUUUAAAAUUAGAAAUAAGUCUAAACACGAGUGUUUAAAAUUAGGAGAUAGUCAAUUCAUUACUAACCCGAUGCAGAUAUCACUAUAACAGGUUGAUCUUGUAUCUUAGAGAUAAUUUCACGAAAAAGAUUUAGACAGAAAUGAGGUAAGUGCGUAAGUGCUUAUAAAUAUAGUUUAAUCUUUAUAAGAUAUCAAAACUAUGAUAUUUAAUAAUUGACAAUUUAUUAAUAAGAAUAGAAUUCCGACAGAAUUUUAUUAUUAAAUUUUUAUUCUUAUUUACGUUUAUUAUUGAAACUGCUGAUGAAUUGUUCUGCUAUGUUUUGUAACUGAAUUCGUAUAUGUACUGGUUGCUAUAUAAUUGGGAGUAUAUUAAGGAUAUGUAAAAGAGUUUAUGAUGAUAAAUAGUUACAGUACGUGUGUUAGGUAUAUAAUAUAUUAAAUAAUAAAAUUAGAAAAUUUAUUAAUAAGUUGAAAUAAAUAAAUAGAUAUUAAAAGAUUUAAAAAACUCAUUUAACUGGUAUCACCGAGGGGUGGGUGUGUGUAGUUUUUUGGCGUGUGACUGUGGUGAACUCUAACUGUGGAUAAGGUUUUAGCCAGACGUGACAAAACAAUAAAAAUUGUGAACUUUAUAUUGUGUACUGCAAACUGUGAAUUAGGAAUUGAAUUAUGACAUAUUCACGUGGUAGAAAGGAUUGUUAUUCCUCUCGUUGAUACCAGUGAAAAUGGCAUCGCGUGAUAAAAUUAUUUUUAAUAAGAUAUAAACCAAUAUGAAUGAAUAAGAAGUCAUGAGUAAAGUUCACGAUAUUGAAACACUAAACUGAUAUCUACUGAACUAUUUACUGCUUAAAUUGUGAUAUUGAAUACUGAAUUAUAUUAUUUAUUGAACUGUUUAUAUUAUGAAUUAUGAUACUAAAAUAAGAAAUUUUGAAUAAACUGAUUUAGAUGAUUUGAUGAUUCAAU